GCACGUUAAAGAAAAUGUAUAUCUACAUCUGCUGUGACAUGAGUAUGAAAAAUACACUUUAAGACCUGAUAUCGGCAAAAGGUGCAACAGCAUGGAUCCAUAGUGGUGUUAGGCUAAGUUUAGGAUUAAAAAUUAACUGCUUUAGUCAGACAUUUUGACCUUGUGGGGACAUUUUAUCUUUAAAGGGCUUUUGUUUAAGCCUAAGUUAUGGUUAAGUCAGGCAUUUAUUUGUGACGGUUAAGGUAAGGGUAAGGGUUUGUGUGUGUUCCAGGUAUUCCUCAUCUUGUGGGGACCUGUUUACAUGAAACUCAAGUCCCCAUGGGUUGAGGUUAGGGUGAAGUUAAGGUCAGUAUUAGUUAUGGUUAAGGUAAGAGCGAGUGACCCUAAGUCUCCAGGUCGCGGACAUAAGUCCGAGUCAUGUCGUCUGAAGUCAUGGAAACCAGACUUUGUGGUUUCCGUGCUUCCUGGGUGUUCUCAAUAAUGAGUUGGUUUCUUCACCCCAGGAUUGAUGAGAGUGUUUGCUUUGAAAUGUCAGGGGGAAAAUAGACUUUGUGUCUGGGUUCCCGAGGCAGCAAUGAGUCAAACUAAAGCAGUGUUGUGCAGGAUUUCAGCCGGUGGCUGCCUGUACGCUGUCAACACGAUGAAAGUGCACAGGCUCAAUUUCAAAACAUGGCAAAAGCUAAUUAACUGUAACUGGUGUUGACUGUGAUUUACAGCGCAUUUACCUGUGAGGAGAGAUGAUCGAAAGGCUGCUCAGUCUGCUCGCGUCUGCCAUCUUCAAAUGAGAUUAGAUUCUCUGAUUAGAUUUGACUUUAUUGAUCCCACAGUGGAGAAAUUCACUUUGUUAGAGCAGCAGAGGAGUGAGAGGAAGACAAGCAACAAAAUACAACAGCGUUUAAAAUAAAGAAUAUACAAACUCAAAAAUACAGUAAGCAGUACUAUAAAAAAAGAAAAAUAUGUGAGAAGUGUUAAAAAUAUCAAUCUCUAUCUUUUUUGACCUUUGGCAAAUUAUUAUAUAUUUUUAAAGUUACAUUUUUGCACUCAAACUUAGACACUAAAACUUUAUUUUUCCAUCAAGAACUCUAUUUUAAAUUAUAUUAUUAUACGUUCCUUUUUUAUGUGUUUAAAAAUGCAGAUUGGAGAGACUACGCACUACAGCAGGGUUUCCCAAACACUGGGUCGAGACCCACACAUGGGUCGCAGGAGAUUGUUUUUGGGUCCCAAAACCAGUUUGCUGAAUUUUUGCAAACUUUGUAUGUAUUUGUUUAAAGUAACAUACAUGAAAUGAAGUUGUAAUUAAUUUACCAAACAUUUCUUGAAAACGUUUUAUUUAACAAGUCAAAGUAAUAUUAUUAGUUAUUAUGACAAAUGAGCUCUUUUCACAACUUAUAUUGUGAUUUGGUCGUUACCUUUAAAAAGUCUGUUCUGUAUAAAUUUUAACUAAACGUUUGGGAAAAUUCUGCUCAUUUUUUUGGGGACACAAGAAAAUUGUCCCACGACCAAGCUGUGGUCCCCAAACCAGACUUUGGUCACUGAUAUAGAGUAGUUUUAGUUAAAUAUAUAAAGUAUUGUUCCUCAUGUUCUUUGUUCCUUACAUGUUCCUUAAAGGUUCCUCAUGUUCCUUAUGUUCCUUACAUGUUCCUUAAAGUUUCUCCAUGUUCCUUAAAGGUUCCUCAUGUUCCUUACAUGUUCCUUAAAGGUUCUUCAUGUUCCUUACUUGUUCCUUACAUGUUCCUUAAAGGUUCCUCAUGUUCUUUAUGUUCCUUACAUGUUCCUUAAAGGUUCCACAUGUUCCUUAAAGGUUUCUCAUGUCCCUUACUUGUUCCUUAAAGGUUCCUCAUGUUCUUUAUGUUCAUUACAUGUUCCUUAAAGGUUCCACAUGUUCCUUAAAGGUUUCUCAUGUUCCUUACUUGUUGAACGACAAAUAAAGCUCCUUGAUCCUGAACACA